GCUUCCCCUAGAGCAAGUGGCAAAGGAUUUGGUGGUUGGUACCUGAAAUCCAAGUUCGAAUCCUAGUUGAUUCACAUAUCCAGCUAAGUUUAUUUCUAAAUGAAAUAAACAAAGCGGGUAGCGUGCUAUUUAUCUCUCUCAAAAAAAAAGAAAAAAAAGUGUAAUUUUAUCUGCUCAAAUAGAAUAAAUAAUGAAUUGGAAAAAUUAUUAAUUGUUUGUAUAUGAUGUAUAA
rnacentral:lncRNA from 1 species